rnacentral:rRNA from 1 species
GACGAACGCUGGCGGCGUGCCUAAUACAUGCAAGUCGAGCGGACAAAGACGAGCUUUCUCCUCGAUGUUAGCGGCGGACGGGUGAGUAACACGUGAGUAACCUGCCUGUAAGACUGGGAUAACUUCGGGAAACCGGAGCUAAUACCGGAUAAUGCUUUUGAACGCAUGUUCGAAAGCGGAAAGAUGGUGUGGGCUAGCACGUACAGACGGGCCCGCGGCGCAUUAGCUAGUUGGUGAGGUAACGGCUCACCAAGGCAACGAGGCGUAGCCGACCUGAGAGGGUGAUAGGCCACACUGGGACGUAGACACCGACCAGACUCCUACGGGAGGCAGCAGUAGGGAAUCUUAUGCAAUGGACGAAAGUCUGACGGAGCAACGCCGCGUGAGUGAUGAAGGUUUUCGGAUCGUAAAACUCUGUUGUGAGGGAAGAACAAGUACCGGAGUAACUGCCGGUACCUUGACGGUACCUAAUCAGAAAGCCACGGCUAACUACGUG